UGAGACAGGUGCUGCAUGGCUGUCGUCAGCUCGUGUUGUGAAAUGUUGGGUUAAGUCCCGCAACGAGCGCAACCCUUAUCCUUUGUUGCCAGCGAUUCGGUCGGGAACUCAAAGGAGACUGCCGGUGAUAAACCGGAGGAAGGUGGGGAUGACGUCAAGUCAUCAUGGCCCUUACGAGUAGGGCUACACACGUGCUACAAUGGCGUAUACAAAGAGAAGCGACCUCGCGAGAGCAAGCGGAACUCAUAAAGUACGUCGUAGUCCGGAUUGGAGUCUGCAACUCGACUCCAUGAAGUCGGAAUCGCUAGUAAUCGUAGAUCAGAAUGCUAGCGGUGAAUACGUUCCCGGCGCCUUGUACACACCGCCCGUCACACCCAUGGGGGUGGGUUGCAAAAGAAGUAGGUAUGCUUAACCUUCGGGAGGGCGCUUGCCAGCUUUGUGAUUCAUGACCUGGG
rnacentral:rRNA from 1 species